rnacentral:lncRNA from 1 species
GGGCUAAUCCUAUUCUUUGCGGUGCAGGGGAAAAUCUGUUUAAAACUAAAAGAGAAUGCCUGAAGGUUUGCACGACGAGUAAAAGAAGACCGAAAUUGUGCUUAAAACCUCCCCUCUUCGGCUCCUGUGAUCCGACACUUCAGACUUGGCGCUUUGAUUACUGGUCUGGACACUGCAAGGUGCUCAACUAUACCAUAUGUAACCUGGGCAUUAAAGAAUUUGCAACAGAGGAAGCGUGUAUUAUUGUGUGCCAACGAAUUAGACGCCCUAAAGUUGUCUGCAGCCUGACAUCUAGUUCUGCGCCUUGUACCCUUUUUCGCUCUCGAUGGUGGUAUUUCGACUACAAGAAAAAUUACUGCAAUCAUUUUCCUGUUGGUCAAUGCGCAAAUAACGACAAUGGAUUUACAUUGAAGAAGCAAUGUCUCGACAG